UACAGAGGGUGCAAGCGUUGUUCGGAAUUAUUGGGCGUAAAGCGCGUGUAGGCGGCUUUGCAAGUCGGAUGUGAAAGCCCUCGGCUCAACCGAGGAAGUGCGUUCGAAACUGCAGAGCUUGAGUGCCGGAGAGGGUGGCGGAAUUCCCCAAGUAGAGGUGAAAGUUCGUAGAUAUUGGGAAGAACACCGGUGGCGAAAGGCGGCUCUCUGGGACCGAGACUGACGCUGAGGCGCGAAAGCAUGGGAGCGAACAGGGAUGAGAGUACCCGGGUAGUCCAAGCACAAGAUCCUCCUGCACUCGAU
rnacentral:rRNA from 1 species